AAAACUGAGGCUUGCAGAGAUUAAGAGAUUUGUCCCAAAUCACAGAGCUGUUAAACUGUCAGGGUUCAUACCCGUAUUUUUGAAUAUGUAACCCGGUUAACGUGUUAACUCCUUCCACUACAUGACUUCAUGACUGCCUACAGCAUCCUCAGAACCUCACCGACACGCGAUCACAAGGUGGUUGGUUAGCCCUACAGAGAAAAUGCUGCAUUAACUUUGGAGAGAAAGGCUAUGAGAGAGAUUAAGAAGGGAGGAAAGGAAAAUAGAAAAUACCAUGUAAUCAUCAAGAAAAUGUACUGGAAAAAAACAAACAGAAUGGACAACCACUGGAAAACCUACCAUCAUAACCUUUGCCACUAGCAAAAGAAGUGAAAGGAAAACCAAACGGCGGAUCAUGCUUGGUGGCAAGACUGGCACAAAAGAUUAAAUCGUAUCACCUAGAGAGCGGCCGACACAAUGAUUACCCACCAUUAUGCACGGGGUACUGGAAAUGUUUAUGAGAGGCAGGGAGGUCAGGAGGGGGUACGACGAGGAGGAGAAACCGAAGGACGCAAGAAAGAACGAACCAAAGGUGACAGGCGAUGGAGCGGGCAAGACUGGAUGGGUAAACUUGCCUCAACACUAUCGCUUAGAAACUGUUUAACGUGGAUGGCAAAUGUCAAAACCAAGAUACGAACUCAACUGUGACUACAAUACAAGAGUGGUCUUAACCACUUCGUUAUAUUGACUGGUUGAAAUGGGUCCUUAAUUGUCUAUGUAGCUAAGGGAUAAUCUUAAAAUUCAAAAAGCCUUAUGAUGUAUCCCUGUCAAGGAUGUGGAAAAUCAGCUACUGUCAAAUACUGGUACCCAGAAUGAAGUGAAAUUUAGCAGAAUUGAUCAAAAUAUUGUAAAUAACAUUCAAUUUAGUAAAUCCACUAAUACUUAUUUUAGAGACAUUCUUACAUGUGCAGAAAAGUAGGGACAAUGUUUAUUACAGCAUUGUUUGUAAUAGUGAAAACUACGAAACAACAUGAACGUCUAUCAAUAGAAAAAUAUAUAUAUUAAAACAUAUAUAACAUAAAUUUUUUUAAAAUAUAUCUUGAUAUUAGAACCAUAGGAAAAUAUUUAAGAUAAAAAACCAGACAGACAAAAAGAAAAACAGCAAACUUUCACUUAAAAUUUCAGUAAUCCUCAACUAUUUCUCAUUCCGGAAUUCUGUUCUUCAUAUUCUUCAAACCUUUACUUGUGCUUAAACCUACUAUCUCGAACACUUUCCCCCGGCCUGUCAAUUUCGCAAACUGAUACAUUCGCCUAUCUGCUCAAAUAUUACCUCCUUUGUGACUUCACCAGGUAUCAUAUUUUUUUUAUUCUAAUUCCAGUGUAGUUAACAUGCAGUGUCGUAUUAGUUUCAAGGGUACAAUAUAGUGAGCCAACGGUUCCAUAUAUUACUCACUGCUCAUCAAGAUAAGUGUACCCUUAAUCCCUUUCACCCACUGCAGCCACCCCUCCACCCACCUUGCCUCCGGUAACCACCUAUGUGUUCUCUACAGUUAAAGAGUCCAGUUUUGGGGGGCGCCUAGCUGACUGAGUCAGUAGAGCAUGUGACUCUCAUUUUCGGGGUUGUAAGUUCGAGCCCCACGUUAGGUGUAGAGAUUACUUAAAA